AUGCCCGUCUUCAACGGGGAUGUGCCCGUGCCCAUGGAAACUCCCGAGGAACCGGUGGACGUGCCCUCUGACGACUCCAGCAAAGAGGAGGAAGGAGGGGAGCGGGAAAAAGGGCCUGACUCCGAGGCGACUAACGGAGAGUCGAGGGCUCCCCUCCCCCGGCGCAGGUCCCACGUUCUCCGCCUCUCUCUGAGCGAUGACGACGAGGAUGACGACGAGCAGGACAGCGGGAGCUUGCCCCGAUCCCGAAGAAGGACAGGACCGGGCCAAUCUCCCGCGGGUCUGCCCCGGCCCCGAGGCGGACCGCAGAUGCACCUUCCGCUUCCAAGCUUCCCGAGGUUGACCCUUCUAGCUGGCUUUCAGGCUUCAAAUUUGGCCGGAGGCCGCUUGAGCUCACUGGCAACGACCCGUAAGCAUUUGAUUCUUGUCUUUAUUUCUUGCUCUGCUUCUGAGGCUUGA
rnacentral:rRNA from 1 species